rnacentral:misc_RNA from 1 species
UCUCCGUAGGUGAACCUGCGGAGGGAUCAUUACUGAGUGAGGGUCUCCGGGCCCGACCUCCAACCCUUUUGUGAACCACCUCGUUGCUUCGGGGGCGACCCUGCCGUUUCGAUGGCGAGCGCCCCCGGAGGCCUUCAAACACUGCAUUCUCUGCGUCGGAGUAUUAGUAAAUCUAAUCAAAACUUUCAACAACGGAUCUCUUGGUUCCAGCAUCGUGAAGAACGCAGC